rnacentral:rRNA from 1 species
UACGUAGGGUGCGAGCGUUAAUCGGAAUUACUGGGCGUAAAGCGUGCGCAGGCGGUUUUGUAAGCCAGAUGUGAAAUCCCCGGGCUUAACCUGGGAAUGGCAUUUGGGACUGCAAGGCUGGAGUGCGGCAGAGGAGACUGGAAUUCCUGGUGUAGCAGGUGAAAUGCGUAGAUAUCAGGAGGAACACCGAUGGCGAAGGCAGGUCUCUGGGCUGACACUGACGCUCAUGCACGAAAGCGUGGGGAG